AGUAAAUAGAUACCCGGGUAGUCCACGCCCUAAACGAUGUCGACUAGGUGUUCGGUGAGGAGACUCAUUGAGUACCGCAGCUAAACGCGUGAAGUCGACCGCCUGGGGAGUACGGUCGCAAGAUUAAAACUCAAAGGAAUUGACGGGGACCCGCACAAGCGGUGGAUGAUGUGGAUUAAUUCGAUGCAACGCGAAAACCUUACCUACCCUUGACAUGUACGGAACCCUGCUGAGAGGUGGGGGUGCUCGAAAGAGAGCCGUAACACAGGUGCUGCAUGGCUGUCGUCAGCUCGUGUCGUGAGAUGUUGGGUUAAGUCCCGCAACGAGCGCAACCCUUGUCAUUAGUUGCUACGCAAGAGCACUCUAAUGAGACUGCCGGUGACAAACCGGAGGAAGGUGGGGAUGACGUCAAGUCCUCAUGGCCCUUAUGGGUAGGGCUUCACACGUCAUACAAUGGUCGGUACAGAGGGUUGCCAAGCCGCGAGGUGGAGCCAACCCCAGAAAGCCGAUCGUAGUCCGGAUCGCAGUCUGCAAC
rnacentral:rRNA from 1 species